AGUCUAGGUUCUUCCUACACGUUACUGUGAUGUGUGUGAAAUUAGGUAGCGAGGUCACAGGGGGUAGAGCGGAGUAAACAGAGCACUCCAAGGCCCUGUUCCAUAGGGUACAGCCCAUCAACAAUUCUGCCAUUCAUAUGGAACGGAUGGACAUCCCAUUAGAACAAACACAAGCAAACAGCAAUAACCAAAGCUCAAGAACAAAGAAACCGCUAUCUCAUUUAACCACAGCAGACUCAUGCCCUCGUGACAGGAGACAGGAUGUGGAUCUGGAUUUGUGCAAUCUUUGCUAAGGUGGCUGAGAAACAGUCUGCCAUUGGAGCUGCUCUUGACUCCAGAGAGAAGUGUCGACACGGAAGAAAAACAACCUUCUGUCUCGCUAAGGGGUGAUAUUAAGAUGAGAAAAAUGUUUAGGAUUGCAAAGCUGCUUAGGAUAUCAUGCUUUCAAGGAAUGCACGAUGUGCUGUAAAAUGCACAACGCAAAGAUGAGCGUAGGAAUUCUGGGACUUAACUGGAUUCUGCCAGAUAGGAAGGGAUGUGCUGAGCUCCGCGAACCUCCUUCCGUUAUUGACAGAGGAGCCCGCUGGUGAGCGGAAGAUGACCUUCGCCUCUCUGCCUUCAGUCAAUAGCAACCCCGAGACAAACAUAAUUAUUUCAUGUGCAAUAACCACUUAA
rnacentral:lncRNA from 1 species